GACGAACGCUGGCGGCGUGCUUAACACAUGCAAGUCGAACGGAAAGGCCCUGCUUUUGUGUGGUGCUCGAGUGGCGAACGGGUGAGUAACACGUGAGUAACCUGCCCUUGACUUUGGGAUAACUUCAGGAAACUGGGGCUAAUACCUGAUAGGUGCUCCUGCUGCAUGGUGGGGGUUGGAAAGUUUCGGCGGUUGGGGAUGGACUCGCGGCUUAUCAGCUUGUUGGUGGGGUAGUGGCUUACCAAGGCUUUGACGGGUAGCCGGCCUGAGAGGGUGACCGGCCACAUUGGGACUGAGAUACGGCCCAGACUCCUACGGGAGGCAGAAGUGGGGAAUAUUGCACAAUGGGCGGAAGCCUGAUGAAGCAACGCCGCGUGCGGGAUGACGGCCUUCGUGUUGUAAACCGCUUUCGCCUGUGACGAAGCGUGAGUGACGGUAAUGGGUAAAGAAGCACCGGCUAACUACGUG
rnacentral:rRNA from 1 species